UACGGAGGGCGCGAGCGUUAAUCGGAAUUACUGGGCGUAAAGCGCGCGUAGGCUGUUGUGUAAGUUGGGGGUGAAAUCCCACGGCUCAACCGUGGAACAGCCCUUGAUACUGCGCGACUUGAAUCCGGGAGAGGGUGGCGGAAUUCCAGGUGUAGGAGUGAAAUCCGUAGAUAUCUGGAGGAACAUCAGUGGCGAAGGCGGCCACCUGGACCGGUAUUGACGCUGAGGCGCGAAAGCGUGGGGAGCAAACAGGAUUAGAAACCCGAGUAGUCCCGUAGCCAGAUACCCUUGUAGUCCACA
rnacentral:rRNA from 1 species